CCUACGGGUGGCUGCAGUGGGGAAUAUUGGACAAUGGGGGGAACCCUGAUCCAGCCAUGCCGCGUGUGUGAAGAAGGCCCUCGGGUUGUAAAGCACUUUCAGUGAGGAAGAACGCCUGGUGGUUAAUACCCAUCAGGAAAGACAUCACUCACAGAAGAAGCACCGGCUAACUCCGUGCCAGCAGCCGCGGUAAUACGGAGGGUGCGAGCGUUAAUCGGAAUUACUGGGCGUAAAGCGCGCGUAGGUGGCUUGAUAAGCCGGUUGUGAAAGCCCCGGGCUCAACCUGGGAACGGCAUCCGGAACUGUCAAGCUAGAGUGCAGGAGAGGAAGGUAGAAUUCCCGGUGUAGCGGUGAAAUGCGUAGAGAUCGGGAGGAAUACCAGUGGCGAAGGCGGCCUUCUGGACUGACACUGACACUGAGGUGCGAAAGCGUGGGUAGCAAACAGUAUUAGAUACCCCAGUAGUC
rnacentral:rRNA from 1 species